GUACACCUGCUAUAUCACUAUAGCAUCACCCACGCAUGGUACGUGGGCCGCCUACAUCCUUUGAAUCAAGAAAACACCCCCACAGGCAUCUGCACAGGCCAGUCUGAUGGAGGUAAUUCCUCAGAUGAGAUUCCCUUGUCCUACGGCUAGAGAGAUGGCUCAGUGGCUAAGGACACUGACUUAACCACUUAAUGAUGGACGCAGGUACAAAUCCUAGCACCCACAUGGCAACUCACAAUUGUCUGUAUACUCCAAGACCCAACACUCUCGUUUACAUGCAGGCAAAACAGCAAUGCACAUAAAAUAAAAGUAGGUGAAUUUUUUAAAAAGAGAGAUUCCCUCUUCCUGAUCAUGUGUAGGUUUGGGUCAAGUUGACAAAACCUGCCCAACACAAUUACAUGGUAACCAGUGUAAUGUAAGCUUUUUAUUGACACAUCAGGUAGGGAGGAGUCACUGUGGUGCAGGAAGGAGCUGGAAGCAUGAUCCGACUGUAGCAUGGGCACUGUGUGGGGGAAGAGGCUUUUCUGGGCUGUGAGGAACCCUACUAUCUUGAAUCUCCCCGCCUGUCGGGAGUAAGAGGACCCCCAGUCAGAGAAAGGUCAGCUUCUGUUGUGAGUGGGAAUGAUGGGACCACAGUAGUUCUUCUGCUCAGUGGCGGCUUCCUCUGAUAGAAACAAGAAUCAAGACAGAAAUGCACUUAUAAAAAAAAAUGACAUAUAAAAAUCGCACAGCUAGUAUAUGUAUCCAUAAAAGUGACAUGGCUAUUUUGUGUAAUAAUGUUUUUAAGUGAUAUGGGAAGGGUGGGAAGAAUUCUCAACAAGACCAGACUCUUUUCCGUUUCGUUCUCCUCUUACUAACUUCUACUGCUUCGCACGUGUGGGGUAAUAAAAUCUGUCUUAUCUGUGUGCGACAUGCUGCUGUCAGAAGAGACCAAUAGGUGUCCUCCUCCCUCCCUCUCUGCCUCUCUCCUUUCAGACAGGGAUCUUUCCCAGCCAGGAAGUCAUUGUCCUGUCCAUCUACCCGGGAUCCCAGGCGACAGAUGGUCAUGAUGGCUCAUGUAGGUGCUGGGAACCGAACCUGGAUCCUCAGCAAGAGUAGCAAGGGUUCUUAACUGCCGGGUCAAGUCUCCAGUGACAAUCGGGGCUGUAUGGUCUAGACUGGCCUGCCUCAGGCUCGCUCCACUUCAUGUCCAUCACUGAGUAUGCGUCUUCCUCCAUGGUCCUCAGCCCAGCCACCAGUGGGAGAGUCACCCAGGAGCUUGUGAACCUCCAGACACUUGGCACCAACCCCAGACCAGUCAAGCCAGAUUCGGGGAGUGGCACCCAGAUGUCAGAACUUUGUGAAGUCUCCCAAAGGUGUCCAAAGGGCAGCCAAGAUUGUGAACCACUGCUGCUCUCUGAGGCCAGGAGAGCUUCCUGUGUCCAUGGCUACAUACUGCUCUUGGUUUUCUAACAAGGUCUUUCCAAAUAGGUUGAAAGAUCUACUUCCUUAUAGGUCCAGAGAAGGUCCUAAAUAAAAUGGAGGUGCUGUUUUGCUCUUGGGGUGCUCUGUUGUCCUUAUUUCAGGACUGAGUAUAACUAAAGAUUCAGGAUGUAUGCGGUAAAGCUCGUUUG